rnacentral:rRNA from 1 species
GACGAACGCUGGCGGCGUGCCUAAUACAUGCAAGUCGAGCGGAAUGAGGAGAGCUUGCUCUCCGAAUUUAGCGGCGGACGGGUGAGUAACACGUAGGUAACCUGCCUAUAAGACUGGGAUAACUCCGGGCAACCGGGGCUAAUACCGGAUAACAUUUUGCACCGCAUGGUGCGGAAUUGAAAGGCGGCUUCGGCUGUCACUUAUAGAUGGACCUGGGGCGCAUUAGCUAGUUGGUGAGGUAACGGCUCACCAAGGCGACGAUGCGUAGCCGACCUGAGAGGGUGAUCGGCCACACUGGGACUGAGACACGGCCCAGACUCCUACGGGAGGCAGCAGUAGGGAAUCUUCCGCAAUGGACGGAAGUCUGACGGAGCAACGCCGCGUGAGCGAUGAAGGCCUUCGGGUCGUAAAGCUCAGUUGUUAGGGAAGAACAAGUGCUAGUUGAAUAAGCUGGCACCUUGACAGUACCUAACCAGAAAGCCACGGCUAACUACGUGCCAGCCGCCGCAGUAAGAC